GAGGAGGAGGAGGAGGAGGAGGAGGAGGAGGAAGAUGCUAGAGACUACCCCAUUGAUGUUGAAGAUAUUUCAUACACGCCGAUGUCGAGUGGAUCGAAUCAUUAGAAAUAAUAUUCGAAAGUCGCGUGACUGAAUAAAGCAACUAAAGUACAAACUGGUGGUGGUGGUGGUGGUGGUGGUGGUGGUGAUGGUAGCGGCAGUGCCAACGUUGUUUC